rnacentral:tRNA from 1 species
CAGCCCGCCGGGCGGUUCUCGACCAGGCUCGUCAACACCGAGACCGGCCGCGGGUACUUCGCGGACGGCCGGGUGCGGCUGCCGAAGGGCCGC